GACGGGGGGGGCAAGUGUUCUUCGGAAUCACUGGGCUUAAAGGGCGCGUAGGCGGGCGAGCGAGUCGGAGGUGAAAUCCCACGGCCCAACCGUGGAAGUGCCCCCGAUACUGCUCGUCUGGAGGGAGAUAGGGGCGUGCGGAACUUCCGGUGGAGCGGUGAAAUGCGUAGAUAUCGGAAGGAACACCGGUGGCGAAGGCGACACACUGGCCCGUUACUGACGCUGAGGCGCGAAAGCGUGGGGAGCAAACAGG
rnacentral:rRNA from 1 species